AUAGCUUAGUCUGUGGAGCAUCAGACUUUUAAUCAGAUUAACCAGGGUUCAAGUCCCUGU
rnacentral:tRNA from 1 species